rnacentral:rRNA from 1 species
CGAGUGGCGCACGGGUGCGUAACACGUAUGCAACCUACCCUUAACAGGGGCACAACCUUUAGAAAUGAGGGCUAAUACCCCAUAGUAUCCAGAGAGGGCAUCUUAUUUUGAUUAAAGAUUUAUCGGUAUAGGAUGGGCAUGCGUCCCAUUAGUUAGUUGGUGAGGUAACGGCCCACCAAGACUGUGAUGGGUAGGGGUCCUGAGAGGAUUAUCCCCCACACUGGUACUGAGACACGGACCAGACUCCUACGGGAGGCAGCAGUAAGGAAUAUUGGGCAAUGGCCGAGGGGCUGACCCAGCCAUGCCGCGUGCAGGAAGACGGCCUUAUGGGUUGUAAACUGCUUUUAUACGGGAAUAAUAGCCGAUACGUGUAGUGGCAUGCAAGUACUAUAUGAAUAAGCAUCGGCUAACUCCGUGCCAGCAGCCGCGGUAAUACGGAGGAUGCGAGCGUUAUCCGGAAUCAUUGGGUUUAAAGGGUGCGUAGGCUGGUAUUUAAGUCAGUGGUGAAAUGUCCCUGCUUAACAGGGGAGCUGCCAUUGAUACUGGAUACCUUGAGUGUAAUUGAUGUGGGCGGAAUGUGUUAUGUAGCGGUGAAAUGCUUAGAUAUGACACAGAACACCGAUAGCGAAGGCAGCUCACAAAGUUACAACUGACGCUGAUGCACGAAAGCGUGGGGAUCAAACAGGAUUAGAUACCCUGGUAGUCCACGCUGUAAACGAUGAUCACUAGCUGUUGGCGAUAUACAGUCAGUGGCUAAGCUAAAGCGAUAAGUGAUCCACCUGGGGAGUACGUCCGCAAGGAUGAAACUCAAAGGAAUUGACGGGGGCCCGCACAAGCGGAGGAGCAUGUGGUUUAAUUCGAUGAUACGCGAGGAACCUUACGUGGGCUUGAACGUAUGGUGCAU